rnacentral:rRNA from 1 species
GGGGAAUAUUGCACAAUGGGGGAAACCCUGAUGCAGCGACGCCGCGUGGGUGAUGAAGGCCUUCGGGUUGUAAAGCCCUGCCGGCUGGGAACAAGUUAGACGUGCUCAUACCACGUUUGAUUGAGUGUACCAGCAAAGGAAGCACCGGCUAACCCUGUGCCAGCAGCCGCGGUAAUACAGGGGGUGCUAGCGUUGUUCGGAAUUACUGGGCGUAAAGGGCGCGUAGGCGGCUUGAUAAGUCAGAAGUGAAAUCCCGGAGCUUAACUUCGGAAUUGCUUUUGAAACUAUUAGGCUAGAGUAUGUUAGAGGAAAUCGGAAUUCCUAGUGUAGAAGUGAAAUUCGUAGAUAUUAGGAAGAACACCGGUGGCGAAGGCGGAUUUCUGGGACAUUACUGACGCUGAGGCGCGAAAGCGUGGGGAUCAAAC